rnacentral:rRNA from 1 species
CCUACGGGAGGCAGCAGUGAGGAAUAUUGGUCAAUGGAUGAGAGUCUGAACCAGCCAAGUAGCGUGAAGGAUGACUGCCCUAUGGGUUGUAAACUUCUUUUAUAUGGGAAUAAAAUGUUCCACGUGUGGGAUUUUGUAUGUACCAUAUGAAUAAGGAUCGGCUAACUCCGUGCCAGCAGCCGCGGUAAUACGGAGGAUCCGAGCGUUAUCCGGAGUUAUUGGGUUUAAAGGGAGCGUAGGUGGAUUGUUAAGUCAGUUGUGAAAGUUUGCGGCUCAACCGUAAAAUUGCAGUUGAAACUGGCAGUCUUGAGGACAGUAGAGGUGGGCGGAAUUCGUGGUGUAGCGGUGAAAUGCUUAGAUAUCACGAAGAACUCCGAUUGCGAAGGCAGCUCACUGGACUGCAACUGACACUGAGGCUCGAAAGUGUGGGGAUCAAACAGGAUUAGAUACCCCUGUAGUC